rnacentral:snoRNA from 1 species
CAAAAGCACUCAGUGGGCCUUUUGCUAGUGACCCAUUGAGCCAUCAAGAAGGAGCAGAGAAAAAACACCGCUUUUGGGUCAAGUAGCAACUUGUGUUGUUUUACUUCAAUUGGUGCUGUGACCAGA